UGCAUUUUUUGCUCCAAAAAA
rnacentral:piRNA from 1 species